GAUCUCAAAUCAAGUAAGACUACCCGCUGAACUU
rnacentral:rRNA from 3 species